rnacentral:rRNA from 1 species
AUUGAACGCUGGCGGUAUGCUUAACACAUGCAAGUCGAACGGCAGCACAGUACUAGCUUGCUAGUAUGGGUGGCGAGUGGCGGACGGGUGAGUAAUGCAUAGGAAUCUGCCUUAUAGUGGGGGAUAACCCGGGGAAACCCGGGCUAAUACCGCAUAAUCAUUACGAUGGAAAGCGGGGGAUCUUCGGACCUCGCGCUAUAAGAUGAGCCUAUGUCAGAUUAGCUUGUUGGUGGGGUAAAAGCCCACCAAGGCGAUGAUCUGUAGCUGGUCUGGGAGGACGACCAGCCACACUGGGACUGAGCGACGGCCCAGACUCCUACGGGAGGCAGCAGUGGGGAAUAUUGGACAAUGGGGGAAACCCUGAUCCAGCAAUACCGCGUGUGUGAAGAAGGCCUGAGGGUUGUAAAGCACUUUUAGAGGGAAAGAAAUCUUCCAAGUUAAUACCUUGGAGGCUUGACGUUACCCUAAGAAAAAGCACCGGCUAACUCUGUGCCAGCCGCCGCCGUAA